GCCCGUAUAGCUCAGUGGUAGAGCGUGUCACUCGUAGCCAUCCAGCGACAUGACAAGGUCUGCGGUUCAAUCCCGCAUGGGGGCA